rnacentral:rRNA from 1 species
CGAAAGCCUGACGGAGCAAGACCGCGUGAGGGAGGAAGGCUCUUGGGUUGUAAACCUCUUUUCUCUGGGAAGAAGAUCUGACGGUACCAGAGGAAUCAGCAUCGGCUAACUCCGUGCCAGCAGCCGCGGUAAUACGGAGGAUGCAAGCGUUAUCCGGAAUUAUUGGGCGUAAAGCGUCCGUAGGUGGCAAUUCAAGUCUGCUGUCAAAGCGCAAGGCUUAACCUUGUAAAGGCAGUGGAAACUACAGAGCUAGAGUGCGUUCGGGGCAGAAGGAAUUCCCGGUGUAGCGGUGAAAUGCGUAGAUAUCAGGAAGAACACCGGUGGCGAAAGCGCUCUGCUGGGCCGUAACUGACACUCAUGGACGAAAGCUAGGGGAGCG